rnacentral:rRNA from 1 species
CACUAUUCAUAACUGUAAAUAGAUUGAAAAUUUACCAGAGUACUAUGAAUGUAUAAAAAUUUAAAACUCAAAGGGCUUGGCGGUGUUUUAGACCCAUCAGGGGAACCUGUCUCGUAAUCGACAAUCCACGUAAAACCUAACCCUAUCUUGUACUCAGUUUGUAUACCGUCGUCGUCAGGUAACUUUUUAAAAAUUAGAAGUUAGCAGAAAAAAUAAUGUAGAUUAAUACGUCAGAUCAAGGUGCAGCUAAUGAAAGGGAGAGGAUGGGUUACAAUUAUAUUACUUAUAAUUACGGAUAGUUAGGUGAAAAUAUACCUUAAAGGAGGACUUGAAAGUAAAAUAAAAUAUAUAAACAAUUUGAAUGUGGCUCUGAAACGUGC